UAAAAAAAAUGCAAAUCAUUGCUUGAUUUUUUUUUAAAGAAGGUGGCAAGGUGCAUAUUGUUUACUCAAGCUUUAACAGACUGGAGGGUAGAACUGAAAGUGUUGUAGGGAAUGAGGCCAUGUCUGGCUAGAGAUCAGUCACCAGCAGUGCUCAUCAGGGCUUAAUCCUGGGGACAGUUCUGUUCAAUACAUUUAUCAACUAUUUGGGUGCAGGAGUUGAAUGCACCAUUAGCAAGUUUGCUAAUGAUACUGAACUGGGAGGUGUUGUUGACUGUUUUGAAGUGGCCUUGAAGAGAGAUAUGGAUAGACAGGAACAUUGAGUUAUGAUUAAUGGGAUGAAAUUUAGCCACCUGAAAUACCAGAUUCUGUACCUGGGAGAGAAUACUGCUGGGUAGAAGUAUAAGCUAGGAGAGGAGUGGCUGGAGAGCAGCCCCACAGAAAGGGGCCUGGGGUUGCCAAUUGACAGGAGGCUCAAGAGAAGCCAGCAGCGUGUGCCCUGGCAGCCAAGAGGGCAAACCUCAUCCUGGGAUGCAUCAAACACAACACAGCUGACCAGCCAAGAGGGGUAAUUAUCCCACUGUAUUGAGCUGGUGCAACCUAAUUUCGAAUAUAAUAAUGAGUGUAGUUCCAGGCCCCCAAAAUUAAAAAGGAUGUGAAGGUCCAUGGUUGCAUCCAGAGGAUACAAAAGAUGGUGCAAGGGCAGGAACUCCUUUGAAUUGCUAAUCUCUUCCCUUUGGCAUCCAGUGAUAGGACACAUGGGAAUCGUUCAAAGUUGCACCAGUGAAGGUUUAGUCUGGACAUUGGGAAGCAGUUCUCUACCAAGAAGGUGGUCAAACACUGGAAUAGGCUUUCUAGAGAGAUGGUAGAUGCAUCACAGUUUUCAGUGUUCAAGAGGCAUUUAUUUGGACAAAGCCCUUAAUACCAUGCUUUAGCUUGGUCAGCCCUAGAGUGGUCAGGCAGUUGUACAAGAUGAUCAUUUUAGGUCACAUCCAGCUGCAACCAUUCUAUUAUAUCUUCUAUAUAUUCUAUAUUCUAUAUCCAGUAUUCUAUAGUCUAUUCUAAACCUUCCUUCAACAGAAGGAGGGAUAUAUUUCCUGCUAAAUUAUCUCCCUUGUCUCUUCUUUUAGCUACCUUUUAUCUACUAUUUUCUCAAAAGACAAAAGCUAUUGGAGAGAUAUUCCAGCUGAGGAUGAACUGUCAUAAUUAUUGGAUGCAAGAGAAGCCAUGUUCCAAUAUCUUCCUCUUAAACAACAUGCAGAACCCUAAAAAAUGGCCCACUAGUUUUAGUAAAGCAGAAUAUUUUAUGUGGUGGCCAUGCAUAAUCAUGAAAAUUGUAAGGAAUUCAAACAACUUAAUGAGGAGCACUCUUACUUGAGAACUGAGACCCACUAAUGGAACAGGAUCUGCAGGUGUAUAGGAUGGAGUCACUCACCAUCUCAGAGAAGGAAAUUUGUAUUUAAUGAAGGGCCUUCAGGGAAAGGAAAAGAACCAGGCUUGUACAUUUUUGAAAUGAAAAGCACCAAAGAGAGCCCAAAGCACACCUUAUUCUUAGUGGAAAAAUCCCUUGGGCUGUAGCAUGGGUCAGGUUUGAGUGACUGGCAGCAAAAUGUGCUGCAAAUUAAGUGCACAUGGUGUUGAUAUCCCAAAUGGAAGGUAGAAAAAAAACAAGGGAUUGGUAAAGCUAGUAAGGGGACAGGGCCAGUGGUGGUAUCUGGGGAUAUUCAUAAAUGUUAUGGCUGGAAAGGAAGAUGAUGUGAGGUAAAGGCUGUAAAAGUGACUAGUAUGAUUUAAGACCAGUAGGAGAGGGACAAAACAGUCACUGGAAGCAAGUUUUUUUCGGUCAGAGCAAAGCAGUGGGGGUGAGGAUAGACAAAUAUCAUUCAGGCUUGUUUCCCAGACCUUCCUCAGGUACAUCUCUUAUUCCACAUAACAAAGAGUUAAGAACCUCCUCAAGACUCCUCUUUUUUGGGUUGACUUUGACUUUAAUGAACUAGCUUCCAUGCUAGUGCUGUUCAGUGCUGUUCUUUCCCUUGUUUUUUGCUGUGUGGUCUGUAACUCUCAGUCAGACUGCAGGCUCCAUAACAAAUUAUUAUAGUGAUAAAGUAUAAAUCACAGAUAAAUACAGCACCUAUACAGUACCUAAAUUACAACUAUGGUGUUCCAUAAAUAAUAAACUACCCAGGAGUGAAAAUUACAAAAGGGUAAGGUGCAGAACUUGAACCAGUUGUGCUGUAACUCAGGUCAAAUUAAAAUGCGGUCAAGAAUUUUAAAAAACAUUACACUACACACUUUAUCUAAAGCAUUAAGCAGCACACAGAAAACCUCUUCACUUGGAUAAAAGCAAUGAUGUAUUUCUAACCCGAGAAAUAUCACAGACACAGUUGUCAUCAGUGAAAAUCAAUGUGGACUCAAGUGAAAGAAAGGAUAAAAAAAUGACAAUAGGAAGCCAUUAUAGGACACUGGGGGAGGAUGGAAAAGCAGAACAGGAAAUGUUUGUGUAGAUAAAAGAAUCCUGCAAAACAGCUACAACAAGAAUCAUAGGAAUUUCAAUCGUCCUGUCACUGAGGGGAAUUGCAAUUAGGAAAUAUCAAAUAAGUGUGAAAAGCUGAAUACUAACAUAGCUCUGAAUUGUCUUUAGAAAGCUUGUGAAAACACUCUACAUAUAGAAACAACAGCCUCAGAAAGCUCACAUCCUGGCUUUUAUCUCCAAAUCCAAAAUAGUACAGAUCUGAAAGAAUCAGUUUAUUGACCUUCUGGGUUAUACUACUAGCUCUAUUUUCUCAGGCCUUCUGCAGAUGGUUGGGGGCUGGUAUAUCCACAGAGGAUGUGGUUCAUUUAACUUCUGGUGAUUGACUCUUGUCAUGUUUGUGAAGGGCAUGAACUAGAAAUUGUUGGGAAGACAACUUUGCAAGCUAUGAGAUGGUUUAGUGGUUAUACAUUUUUCCUACCUGAGUUAUCCAUAAUUAAAGUUGGCAUAAAAGGCAAUUUCUGGAAACCUAGUAAUUUCUGGAAGUCACAGUAUAACAAUAAAAAAAGCUUAGUUUAAUCUGCAUUAAAAAAAAAAAAAUCGUGCAAAAUCCAUUCUUCUGCCAGCAGUACCAUAUUGGCUUCUGUGAGGUUUAAAUUCUCUGCUGCAAAAUGCAGUUAAGAAUGGGAGGCAUUGGCAAAGCUUCUUUGUGUUGCAGUUGUAAGAAAGACCAGUUAAGUGAAAAUUACUUGAUAUUACUCUGGCGAUGUUAAAGCAUCUGGUAGCAUUUGUUUUCUGUCCAUCCCAAGAUUUUUUGCUUGCCUUCUACUCAGGUGUUUGUUUCUGCUGCACCACUGCAAGCUUUCCUUUGCCCAGGGUUUCCACCUGGUACUUCCAGUUGACAUUUGAAUACCCUUGAUGCUUCCCUCGUCCAAAACCAGUUUGUUCUGACCAGGGACCAGGUGGCAGUCCCCUCUGACACUGGACUUCAAGAGACUGGAGGAACAUCGUUUCAUACUAACAGGACUGGAGUCAGGAAAUAAGAAGAGAUGCCAGAAUAUCCACUAAACAUUUAUGAGAGGAAGACCAUCACUUGCACAAUUGCACAAGGUGAGAAUGAGAAGGAACCAGGACAGUGACUAUGAAUUCACAACUGAAGAAACUCUCAGUCCACUUCUAAGCCGUUGAAAUAACCAGUUCCUUCACACUGGAACAUCAGUAACCUGUUGCUGUGAAAUUAUGGUGAUGUCAAGAGCAGGUGCCACAGAAAGAAGAUGCUGGGCCAUGCCAUGCACGGAGCAUGGUGAAGAAGGCUUGGAACUGGAAGUGCUGCACUGCUCUGUCCUUGUAAUUCCUUUGUGCCAUGUUCUGGGAGCUGGGGAAAUGCUCAGCAACAAAUGGCCCCAUAGUGGUUAGUGGAGGAGCAAUCCCUUCUUUCAUGAAAAGCUGGGUAUUCACCUACAUAUCUUAAUUCUUUCCAUGCAUGUUCUUUCUUGCCCUCACCCUGUAAAUUUUGUUGACACAGAAAAGCAGGAAUUUGGUCUUAUGUCUGGGAUUUCUGGAUAACUAGCAACCUGAGUGCAUGUGCAGUAGUGCAGAUCAAGUGAUGCCUUGAUGUCCUGAUAACUGGCCAGCAUACAUACAAAAAUCAACUGUACUUGAAGUGAAUAAAAAUCCAAGGUAUCUGGAGCAUGUCACACUUACUGUGCAGGUGCCAGUUGUCUGAC